rnacentral:tRNA from 1 species
CGGGGCGUAGCGCAGUUGGGCAAGCGCGUUCGGUUCGGGACCGAAAGGUCGGGAGUUCAAAUCUCCCCGCCCCGA